rnacentral:rRNA from 1 species
UACGUGAGGGGCGAACGUUGUUCGGUGUCACUGGGCUUAAAGGGUGCGUAGGUGGUUGUGUAAGUAACGUGUGAAAUCCCUCGGCUUACCCGGGGAAUUGCAUGUUAUACUGCAUGACUUGAGGACCAAAGGGGAAAAGGGAACUCCAGGUGUAGCGGUGAAAUGCGCAGAUAUCAGGAGGAACACCGAUUGCGAAGGCAGCUCGCUGGAACGUAACUGACGCUGAGACGCGAAAGCGUGGGGAGCAAACAGG